CCUACGGGUGACAGCAGUGGGGAAUAUUGGGCAAUGGGCGCAAGCCUGACCCAGCAACGCCGCGUGAAGGAAGAAGGCCCUCGGGUUGUAAACUUCUUUGAUCAAGGACGAAACAAAUGACGGUACUUGAUGAAUAAGCCACGGCUAACUACGUGCCAGCAGGCGCGGUAAUACGUAGGUGGCAAGCGUUAUCGGGAUUUACUGGGGGUAGGGGGCGUGUAGGCGGGACUGCAAGUCAGAUGUGAAAACAAUGGGAUCAACACAUGGCGUGCAUUUGAAAAUGUGGUUGUUGAGUGGUGGAGAGGCAGGCGGAAUUCCGUGUGUAGCGGUGAAAUGCGUAGAUAUACGGAGGAACACCAGUGGCGAAGGCGGCCUGCUGGACAAUAACUGACGCUGAGGCGCGAAAGCGUGGGGAGCAAACAGGAUUAGAUACCCUUGUAGUC
rnacentral:rRNA from 1 species